rnacentral:rRNA from 1 species
GACGAACGCUGGCGGCGUGCUUAACACAUGCAAGUCGAACGGAAAGGCCCUGCUUUUGUGGGGUGCUCGAGUGGCGAACGGGUGAGUAACACGUGAGUAACCUGCCCUUGACUUUGGGAUAACUUCAGGAAACUGGGGCUAAUACCGGAUAGGAGCUCCUGCUGCAUGGUGGGGGUUGGAAAGUUUCGGCGGUUGGGGAUGGACUCGCGGCUUAUCAGCUUGUUGGUGGGGUAGUGGCUUACCAAGGCUUUGACGGGUAGCCGGCCUGAGAGGGUGACCGGCUAGAGUGGGGCUGGGUGCAGGCCCAGAAGCGGGGGGGGGGAGGGAGGGGGAACGAUGGAACAGGGGGCGGGAGCGGGUGGCGGCGGCGCCGGGUGGGGUGGGGGGGCCGUGGGUUGGAACCGCGUGUGGGCCUGCGAGGAGGCGUGGGGGAUGGGAGUGGGCAAAGAGGCCCGGGCUAACGACGCGCCAGCGGCCGGGGUUAUAAGAGGCAGAGCACACGUCUGAAC